rnacentral:rRNA from 1 species
AUUGAACGCUGGCGGCAUGCCUUACACAUGCAAGUCGAACGGCAGCACGGGAGCUUGCUCCUGGUGGCGAGUGGCGAACGGGUGAGUAAUACAUCGGAACGUACCCUGAAGUGGGGGAUAACGUAGCGAAAGUUACGCUAAUACCGCAUAUUCUGUGAGCAGGAAAGAGGGGGAUCGCAAGACCUCUUGCUUUAGGAGCGGCCGAUGUCGGAUUAGCUAGUUGGUGAGGUAAAGGCUCACCAAGGCGACGAUCCGUAGCGGGUCUGAGAGGAUGAUCCGCCACACUGGGACUGAGACACGGCCCAGACUCCUACGGGAGGCAGCAGUGGGGAAUUUUGGACAAUGGGCGAAAGCCUGAUCCAGCCAUGCCGCGUGUCUGAAGAAGGCCUUC